UACAGAGACUGCAAGCGUUAUUCGGAUUCACUGGGCUUAAAGGGCGCGUAGGCGGGUGCUCAAGUCCGGGGUGAAAUCCCACAGCUCAACUGUGGAACUGCCUCGGAUACUGGGUGUCUCGAGGGUGGCAGGGGUAUGCGGAACUAUCGGUGGAGCGGUGAAAUGCGUUGAUAUCGAUAGGAACUCCGGUGGCGAAGGCGGCAUACUGGUCCACUUCUGACGCUGAGGCGCGAAAGCCAGGGGAGCAAACGGG
rnacentral:rRNA from 1 species